GACGAACGCUGGCGGCGUGCUUAACACAUGCAAGUCGAACGAAGUGACGAACGGGUGAGUAAUACGUGGGUAACCUGCCCUCCUGUUUGGGAUAAGCCUUGGAAACGGGGUCUAAUACCGAAUAAAGGGGGAUGGGCUCGCGGCCUAUCAGCUUGUUGGUGAGGGGAGGGCCGACCAAGGCGGUGACGGGUAGCCGGACUGAGAGGGUGAUCGGCCACAUUGGGACUGAGAUACGGCCCAGACUCCUACGGGAGGCAGCAGUGGGGAAUGUUGGACAAUGGGCGCAAGCCUGAUCCAGCCAUGCCGCGUGUCUGAAGAAGGCCUUCGGGUUGUAAAGGACUUUUGUUAGGAAAACGGUACCUAAAGAAUAAGCACCGGCUAACUACGUGCCAGCAGCCGCGGUAAUUC
rnacentral:rRNA from 1 species